CUCAAUGUUUUGACUGGUAUCAUUUAAAUAUAAAAACAGCAAAACUAUGCAAAGGAUCUAUGGUAUUAAUGCUAAAAAUUAAGGUCUUGUUUUGGGUAAAAUAUACAUAUUUUUGUGAAAAUCUGAUUUUAAAUUGAUUUUUUUGAAUAAAUGUUUGAACACUUGGAUUUUCUUUGAAUUAAAAAAAAAGAGAUUAAAGUAAAAGCAAUAAAUUUUUAAUAGCCAAUAGUAACAAGAAAAUAAAAUAAAACAGAGUCUGAUGUCAAGACAGUUAUUUAUUUUUUAUAAUUUCAAAACUUUUCUACUUGUAGGUUUAUUAUCUAUUCUUUUUCUUUUUAAAUUGUCAGUCUUUUCAAAACAAAUAUUAUCUAAAACUGGUUUAGCAGUUGUAUUGAUAAUUAAGCGGAGUACUGUUAAUGAAUGAGGUGAACAUUGAAACAUUUUGUUAUUUAGCAAAUAAGGAUAAAUAGCCUCACUCAAUUGUUGACAAGUUUUUGUUGUUGUUAUGUAAGGUAGRAUUUCCUGUAUUAUAUCUGCAACUCUUUUGAUGAGUGAUACAAAUGGUCGGCUAGGAUAAAGUAAUCCACCAUGGUCUUGAAGUACUAUGASCUUCAUUAGAGGUCCUGGGACUGUUUGCGACAUUAGUGGAGUAAGGCAUGCAUCACAGUGGAAUGUAUCAUUAAUUUUUUUAACAAUAUAUCCGGCUAAGAAAGCAACAGAAGCAGAAUAAAUAUCCUCUUCACAUUCAACGUCAUCAUGCAAGCUUUUAAGUUGGAUCUCCACUUCUUUGGGUAGUGUAAGUUUCAAAUUUGCUCUGUCCAAAAUUUGCAUCGUGGGCAUUAAAUUAGUGUGGCUGAUAAAGGUCACGUCAUGAGAUAUAUUUGCCGAUUUUGAUGCUUUGACAAUGCCACAUUUUAAAAUUUGUCGUACAGCAUACUCCGCUGCUCUCGCAUCAGUUGCGUCAUUACAGCCUCCUUUUAAUCGUACAUGAGAAAACAUUCCCUCAAGAGCAUCACUGCUGAAMGAUCUUGUAAGUACAUAAUAAAAUCCAACCUGGUCUAAAAGAAAUUUAAUUGACAAAUAUGUACUUUGGGCUGUGAAUUUUAUAGCAUGAGCGGUUUCCUUUGAUAGCCCCUUUAAGCAAGCCUCAGAAGAACACUUUUGGAUGUCAUCAAUGUAUUCAGGGAGAACAUUAUUUAGCCAAUGUAAACGCUGAUCUGAUAUUGUAAAGGGAAACAAUUUAGAGAAGCUUCUUGGUCAGUACCACCGAGAUUAACAGGAUUCUUAAAAUUGCAAAAGUGUUAAGGAAGGAUAAUAUGAAACAGGACAAUUAUCUUACAGGCCCGCAAAUUUGAUGCUUAUGGAAAGGCCGUAUACGCUAGUAUGAAUGGAGUCGGCGAUGGUUUAGAGGUCUGGAUUCCCCACACACCGACAGGUGGCGCUCUGCGCUAUCACUGUCCCAUCUUCAAAGGGUACGCACUUAAAGUUGCAGUAAUACGAAACACAGUUAUCACAUUUCUGUCACAUAAAGAAAUGAGAACACAUAAAUCAGAAUAAAGACAAACGCUGAAGCUUUUAAGCAGAAGAUGUAUACCGCUUGGGAAUUGAAGAAUGUUUCACAAUUUUUACUGAAUUUAUUUCUUA